GUGCUUCCUUUGGUAAUAUGUACAUGAAAAUUGCAGAAAAGAUUGGCAUGGCCCCUGCACAAAUAUGACAUGGAAGUGCAUACGGUCUUCCAUAUUUUU
ensembl:snRNA U6 U6 spliceosomal RNA